AUUGAACGCUGGCGGCAUGCUUUACACAUGCAAGUCGAACGGUAACAGGGAGCUUGCUCCGCUGACGAGUGGCGAACGGGUGAGUAAUGCGUCGGAACGUGCCGAGUAGUGGGGGAUAACGCAUCGAAAGGUGUGCUAAUACCGCAUACGUACUGAGGUAGAAAGUGGGGGACCUUCGGGCCUCACGCGAUUCGAGCGGCCGGCGUCUGAUUAGCUAGUUGGUGAGGUAAAGGCUCACCAAGGCGACGAUCAGGAGCGGGUUUGAGAGGAUGAUCCGCCACACUGGGACUGAGACACGGCCCAGACUCCUACGGGAGGCAGCAGUGGGGAAUUUUGGACAAUGGGCGCAAGCCUGAUCCAGCCAUGCCGCGUGUCUGAAGAAGGCCUUCGGGUUGUAAAGGACUUUUGUCCGGGAGCAAAUGCCUGGUGUUAAUAGCACUGGGAGCUGAGAGUACCGGAAGAAUAAGCACCGGCUAACUACGUGCCAGCCGCCGCAGUAACAC
rnacentral:rRNA from 1 species